rnacentral:rRNA from 1 species
CUUGAACGCCGGCGGCAUGCCUUACACAUGCAAGUCGAACGGCAGCACGGGGGCAACCCUGGUGGCGAGUGGCGAACGGGUGAGUAAAGCAUCGGAACGUACCCGGAAGUGGGGGAUAACGUAGCGAAAGUUACGCUAAUACCGCAUAUUCUGUGAGCAGGAAAGCAGGGGAUCGGAAGACCUUGCGCUUUCGGAGCGGCGGAUGUCGGAUUAGCUAGUUGGUGGGGUAAAGGCCUACCAAGGCGACGAUCCGUAGCGGGUCUGAGAGGAUGAUCCGCCACACUGGGACUGAGACACGGCCCAGACUCCUACGGGAGGCAGCAGUGGGGAAUUUUGGACAAUGGGGGCAACCCUGAUCCAGCCAUGCCGCGUGAGUGAAGAAGGCCUUCGGGUUGUAAAGCUCUUUCGGCCGGGAAGAAAUCGCACGGGAUAAUACCCCGUGUGGAUGACGGUACCGGAAUAAGAAGCACCGGCUAACUACGUGCCAGCCGCCGCAGUAACAC